rnacentral:rRNA from 1 species
UUGAACGCUGGCGGCAUGCUUUACACAUGCAAGUCGAACGGCAGCACGACGUGUAGCAAUACACGUUGGUGGCGAGUGGCGAACGGGUGAGUAAUACAUCGGAACGUGUCCUGUAGUGGGGGAUAACCAAUCGAAAGAUUGGCUAAUACCGCAUACGAUCUACGGAUGAAAGCGGGGGAUCGCAAGACCUCGCGCUAUAGGAGCGGCCGAUGUCCGAUUAGCUUGUUGGCGGGGUAACGGCCCACCAAGGCGACGAUCGGUAGCUGGUCUGAGAGGAUGAUCAGCCACACUGGAACUGAGACACGGUCCAGACUCCUACGGGAGGCAGCAGUGGGGAAUUUUGGACAAUGGGCGCAAGCCUGAUCCAGCCAUGCCGCGUGAGUGAAGAAGGCCUUCGGGUUGUAAAGCUCUUUCGACGGGGACGAAACGGUCCGUGCCAACACCACGGACUAAUGACGGUACUCGCAGAAGAAGCACCGGCUAACUACGUGCCAGCAGCCGCGGUAAUACGUAGGGUGCAGGCGUUAAUCGGAAUUACUGGGCGUAAAGCGUGCGCAGGCGGCUCCUUAAGUCAGAUGUGAAAGCCCCGGGCUUAACCUGGGAACUGCGUUUGAUACUGGGGGGCUAGAGUGUGGAAGAGGGGGGUGGAAUUCCAGGUGUAGCAGUGAAAUGCGUAGAGAUCUGGAGGAACACCGAUGGCGAAGGCAGCCCCCUGGGCUAACACUGACGCUCAUGCACGAAAGCGUGGGGAGCAAACAGGAUUAGAUACCCUGGUAGUCCACGCCCUAAACGAUGUCAACUGGUUGUCGGGGAAGUAAUUCCUUGGUAACGAAGCUAACGCGUGAAGUUGACCGCCUGGGGAGUACGGCCGCAAGGCUAAAACUCAAAGGAAUUGACGGGGACCCGCACAAGCGGUGGAUUAUGUGGAUUAAUUCGAUGCAACGCGAAAAACCUUACCUACCCUUGACAUGUGCGGAACGGGGUAGAGAUACCUCGGUGCCCGAAAGGGAACCGCAACACAGGUGCUGCAUGGCUGUCGUCAGCUCGUGUCGUGAGAUGUUGGGUUAAGUCCCGCAACGAGCGCAACCCUUGCCAUUAGUUGCUACAUUCAGUUGGGCACUCUAAUGGGACUGCCGGUGACAAACCGGAGGAAGGUGGGGAUGACGUCAAAUCAUCAUGCCCCUUAUGACCUGGACUACACACGUGCUACAAUGGACGGUACAAAGGGCUGCAAGACCGCGAGGUUUAGCCAAUCCCAUAAAACCAUUCUCAGUUCGGAUUGCAGGCUGCAACUCGCCUGCAUGAAGCCGGAAUCGCUAGUAAUCGCGGAUCAGCAUGCCGCGGUGAUACGUUCCCGGGCAUUGUACACACCGC